GUCAGCCAGUCCUCCAAGGCUCAACAAAGCUGCAGGGGCAGAAGUAGUCUUGACUGCACAUGCUCUUCUUGCACCACAGCUGAAGGAUGCCAAAAGGCAGCCUGCCUUGGAACUCAGCCACCAUGCUGUGAGGAACUCAGCCACAUGAAGAGGCCAAAUGGAGGUUUGCCAGCCAACAGCCCUGCUUAGUACCUCAGGUGAAGUUUAGCAUCAACCACCAGGCAGUGGAAACCAAAGGAACAAAAGAGGAAUAAAGAUGCCCCCAUGAGAGAAGAAAUAAGUACUGGAAUUCCUGGAUACAGUUGUUACUGAGGCACAGCCAAGCAUGAAAAUCUUAUUGGAGGAAGAGUCCCUGACCUACUGAGUAGUGUUCCAAAUUGUACUAUUAAUGGCUGUGGAAUCCACAAGUUGGCGACAAUCUUUCCUGAAGCACAACCCAGGCACAUGCCUUGACUUUUAUGGCACUUGAAUAAUGAUAUUGCACUUUAAAGAGUAUGAGGGGGUUUUAAAAAUUCUGGUCUUGUGCCAAGUUUUCCCAUUUCAUGUAAAAGAAACUUUUUUUCCACUUGUCUGCAUAAAAGGAUGCAAGAAGCAUGAGGAAAGGCAAGAGAAAUUCUUCUUGCUUAUGUCUUAUUUCUAUCUUGAAAUAUGACCUACUUUUGAAAAGUUGGAAGGACCGCAUCAGAAUUCUCAAUUGUCAGAGCUCUCUGUCUUCUGAAAGCUGGACUUUUGCUAUAAAAGACAUGUCUACAAAAAUGAAUAAAUCUGUUGAUACUAGUCAUUUUCAUUAAUUUAUGUCUCAACACAAAAUUUUAAAAGUACUUAUAUAAUGUGGCUGUAAUAAAACCCUAUACAGAGAGAUUUAAAAAUGAAUAUGAAGCACAGAUUUCCACAAUCAUGUGCCCAAUGCACAGAAAGAGCAAACGUGAUUUUCUUUUUCCUCUAGGAUAAAAAAUUUUAUUGGGGGUAACUAAAAAUAUUGGGCAGUAUGUGUGGGUUGGAGGUUGGAGGUUAAGAUUAUUAGAUGUGGGCCAGGCGUGGUGGCUCACGCCUGUAAUUCCAGCACUUUGGGAGGCCAAGGCAGGUGGAUCACCUGAGGCCAGGAGUUUCAGACCAGCCCGGCCACAUGGCAAAACCCCGUCUUUACUAAAAAUACAAAAAUUAUCUGGGCAUGGGGGCGGGCGCCUGUAAUCCCAGCUAUUUGGGAGGCUGAGGCAGGAGGAUUGCUUGAACUUGGGAGGUGGAGGUUGCAGUGAGCCCAGAUCAUGCCAUUGUACUCCAGCCCCAGUAACAAAAGCAAAACUCCAUCUCAAAAAAAAAAAAAAAAAAAAAAAAGAUUACCAGAUGUAUUCUUGAAAAAUAAAAAAAUAAAAAAAAGAACGGGAAGAGUUCUGGAUUAUUUGAACCAAGGAUGAUAUUGUGAGAUUAAUCCCAGAAGGAGGUUUUCCCCUUUUGUAGAAGAGAAAAUUUAAGAAGACUUUAGUAGUAAAAGAUGUGGCUUAUAAACAGACUUUAUAAACAGAAAAAGAACAGUUAUCUACAAAAAAUAAAGUUACUCUGAUUUAACAGGUUUUAUUUAAUUAGCUUUCUUCCAUUUUAAUUCCCUUUCAAUGCAGAGAAUAACUGUUUAUGUAUCAUCACACUUGAUCAUCAAAACUAUCCUACAGGGAUGUUGUUAUUGUUGUCCCAGUUUGUAUUAGUUAUCCAUUGCUGUAUAACAAAUUAACUCCAAACUUGGAGUCUUAUAACAAUAAGCAUUUAUUAUCUCACAAUUCCUGUGGAUUAGGAAAACUGAGCACAAUUUAGCUGGGGACCUUAGGCUCAUGUUCUUGGUUAUUAGCAGGCCUUGGAAAUUCUGCUUCCACACAUACACACAUGGCUGUUGGCAGAUCUCAGGUCUUCACUGGCUAUUAGCUGGAGACAUCAGUUUCUUGGCAAGUGUGUCUCAUAAUAGGAUUGCUCCCAACAUAGUGAAUUGCUCCCCACAGGACAAGGAAUUUGAGAAACAGAACAAAUAAUGGGUCCUCAAGAAGGAAGCUAAUAUCUUUGUAUAACCUAAUCUCAGGGGUGAUUUCCUAUCAUGUCUGUCCCAUCCUAUUCAUUAGAAAAAAGUCACUUAGCCCAGCCCACACUCAAGGGGAGGGAAUUAUGCAAGUCCUACUAGGAGGUAGGGGUCAUUGGGGUUAUUUUAGAGGCUUCCUACCCCAGAGUUUUCGUUAUUCUAAGAAUGGAGGAAAGUGGGGCUUAUAAAAGAUAAAUAAUUUGCCCAAGAUCAUUUGGCUGUUCCAUGCUAAGAUAGGAAUUCAUUUCCAGGCUUUUGGAGUCCAGAGAUCAAGCUCUUAAUCAACAGGUAGCAGAAAAAAAUAAACAAUGUAAGAAAUUGAUCUCUUUUUGCUGAAUCCUUUUGAUGACCAUUUGCCCACCAAUAGGCAAAAGCUUAAGACCAAAUAAUGGCACUAAUUUAGAUUUAUCAAAUGCAUUAUGUGCAGGAAUACAAGCUAGAAUUUCAGUUAAUUUUUAAGUACAUUUUAAUAUAUAACACUUUUCUCGUUUGUCACUCUUUCACGUUUGUAUAUGCAUCAGUAAAAUAAGAGAAGCCUGAAACAUAUUUUUACAUGUUUUAUGGACCAUGUUUCUCAGAAGCGUUUAUUUGGUUUAGAGUUAAGGUUUAAGAAAAAAAUCAUAAUUUUUCAGAGUCAGCUUUAUUAGAAAACGAUUACAAACAUUCACCCGCAAACUUGUCAUUGCACUGGAAUUGGAGAAUCAAAGUUUCUGCUUUUACAUCAAAAAGAAAGCAGAUGUGGUAUGUGUGAGGCCAUGGAACCACAGUCAGGUAUUCCCUGCAGAGUACUGAUAGCUUGUUAUUUCUUACUUAGAUUGAAAUGUUUGCAAGAGUUGAAUGAUAAAUGACUCCAAAGAACAAGUCAAGAAAGGAUCAUGACUAGGUGUUAGUAGGUGCAAGUUUUAUCACAGUACAGGAAUUAGAACAAUGUAGAAGCAACCCAAGAAAAGGAGAGGCUUUCUAACAACUGUGUUAUCAGUUCCAUCAGCCCCUCUGUGCAAACCAUAUGGCCUGUGUCUCAGUCAGCACAGAAGGAUUAUCCAACUGUCACCUCUCUCCCGACUGGAUAUUGUGUCAUAGCUGAACAUUAGGGUUUUCAUUUUUAUGUAUUAUUCCUGCGAAGAAAACUUUGGCAUAACCUACACCCUCAAGAUACUCACCUCCAUUUCUUUAACACCUAACACAUGGCUAGCUCUUAAUCAAUGUUUAAGAACUGCCCUGCAUUUUUAUGAACACGUGGUUAGUUGGAGCUUUGGAUUUUCAACCUUACAUUGAUUGGGACCAGCUGGUAAGGUAAGUGACAAAAUUCUGAGACAGGUUGCUUGUUCACAAUACAUUUCAUUCAGCAAAGGAAGAAAAGGGUAUAAAUUUUUCAAGAGUUAUUCCAUAUGGGAUUUCCAGAUCCCCCAGCAUCUGAACUUUGAGGAUUAUUUUUUAAAUCACACUUUUUCUUUUCACUUAUCCAUGAGGCUGUCUGAAAAUCUAAUUUGUCCUGGAGAAUAGUCUCAUCAUGGAAGCUAGAUAAAAAUAGUUCAUACUCGUGAAUCUUGUGAUCUGUAUAGUAGCACUCAUGAGCCAUUAAAAAAUGAAGGAGGAAAAAUCUAUUUCCAUUUAGAGACUAGUGUUAAUAUUAGUAAACAGUUUGAUGUAAUUGUACUUCUUGUUAUAAUCCACAUUUCUGUAUUUCUAAUAAAUUGCUAUAUCAAAUCCACUAAGUGUUAUUACUUGUAAAAAUGUGUCAUGCAUACUUAGUAAACUUCUGAGUAACCAUUUGUCAUUGUUCUAUGUAAAAAUGAAAAACGACAUUUUCUGUGGAUUUCAUAGCAACUCAUUACCAUGUAAAAAUAUAUACAUAAAAAAUUGAAUAUUUCUACUGGUUAUAAACAUUUUAGUAUAAAUAGACAUGUCUUCAUAUAAUAACUUUAUUUUAAAUUAAAGGGUAAAAACUACAUUGAAUUUGUAAAAUAUAAUUAUAUUGGACCUGGCAUCACCAAGGGAUUGGGGCCAAAGUUCGUCUCUUUUUCUCAAUUCGUCUUUAUUCUAUUUUUGUUUUGUUUGUUUUGAACUGUUUUGGAGGAAAGCAAAUUGAGACCACUGAGAUUCAAACUGGUAGGAAAGAAAUGGGGGGCAGGGGGUUGUAUGAUACAAGGGGAAGGUAGAGGUCAGUUUUGUUCACCUUUAACCUUGGCCAUGUCUCUACUUAUGUAUAUAAAUUCAUUGUUCAUAAAGUGUGAAGACAUUCCCAUUUAGCAAUGCGUGCCCCUUGAGUUACUUUGAUUGUAAUUAUCCAGUCUUACCCUCUUCACCAUGAAGGAGAAUAACUAACAUUUAUUGAGUGCUGUCUGAGUGCUUGGCACAUUACCUGAUUUAAUCUUCACCACUACAAUUCCAGGACGUAGGUGGUAGUAUUAUUCCCAUUUUCAAAGGAGAAAAGUGAGACUUCAGGAUCAAGUAACUUGCCCAAGUUCACACAUGUAGCAUGUGACUAAGCUAGAAUUAACACCCAGGUCUCCCUAAACUCUAUACCAGUACUCCACAUUGUU